ensembl:lncRNA
AUAUUUACAUAUAGUACAUACAAUAAUUUGACCCUACAGCUCCAAACUCGGUCCUAGAGGGCCAGUGUCCUUUAGAGUUUAGCUCCAACCCUAAUUAAACACACUUGAAAAAGCUAAUCAAGCUCUUACUAGAUGUGGCGGUAUCACAUGAAAGGAAAAGUUAAUCAGUGAAUUUAUCCGACUACGCCACCCUGGUGGGAAACCAGAGAAUUUAUUCCCAUUAAAGGACACAGGUAAGUUUCACCAAAUGAAGGCAAAGUAGGGGAGACGGGGGCGAGAAUACAAAAGAUUGGAUUUUAUUAUAAAACACACGCAUAGAUUUAAAACACUCUCACACAAACCAUUUCCACAAUAAGGGAGGAAAUUCCCAGGGCCAGGAUUAGUGGGAACCAGGCAGGCCGGCUGCAACUCAGAAUGGUUAUCCAAAAACCCACCUAAAUUCACACCAAAGCAACCAUCACACACACCAAUGGGAAGUUGUAUCCACACACACCGCACACUGUGACACUGCAAAAUGACAGCAGCUAGCCUCCCCAGUUCCACCCGAUCCUCACUGGCCCUGGAGAAACAGAAAAUAACAUUAAAGAAGAAAUUCAACAAAAUUAUAGAAAUGAAAACAUGCAAAAAAAAAAAAGAAACUUAUAAACACUUUGUUGCGACUCUGGCACUCGAGCACCCAGAGAACACCACACACCCAAAACGUAAAUCAAAAAAUAUUCAAAAAGAAAUAACCCUUGCAGCAUACAAUAUGCUUACAAAAGAAAAUACAGGGUAAACAAAUCAAUACCAAAAAAAAAGACCAAUAUAACCAAACAAACAAAACAAACAAUUACGGUUAGCAGAAAAAAAAAACAAUCCAGAACCUCAACUGGUAGAUAGUCCAUGCGGAGAAAAUACUCAGUCUUUACAGUUUCGUAAACUCUCAAAGUAUUAAAACACAAAAGACCGUAAAGUGCAGAUCGGACUCCAAAAUGCGUCCCUAAGCAAAACAGCAGCUGCGUUGCCUGAAAUCAUUGGCCAGGAUGAGGACUAAGAUGUUUUAAUUUCCCCUUAACUAAAGAAUAAAAAAAACAAAUUAUUAUAACGAUUAAAACAAGAUAACCACCAAUAUGAAGAAAUAAGUGGCAUACUUACGAUUGUUAUUGAAUAAACAUUAGAUGCAACGCUAUAUGGUUACUCACAACCGGUGUCAUAGCUCAGUCUACCAGCCCGCAUUCACUGCUCUCGCUGCAAUUACUGAGAGCAACACACAAUAAAAAUUACAGAUGAGACGGUAAACAAACGGAGCACCUAAACAUACCUGCAGCCGAAAUACGCCGCGAGUUGCCGCACUGCCAAUGCCACCAGACGCGCUCUAAAUGAAACUAUAAAUAGCGUAUAUUAGACUCGCAACAUGCACAUUGUUACACCGCCAACAAACAGCCAAACAUACCUGAGGAAGGAAUCAGAACGGAAACGGAAAUGCCAGGGAGAGAGAGAAGCACCCCAGGUCACAAACAUACCCACCUGCCAUAAUAAAGGUCCUUAAAUAGUAUAGAUACUAUCGUUUCAUUGGUAUAUGAACUUUAACUCCACCAACCAAUGAGAUGCUAGUGCUGUCGCUAUCAUUUAAUUGGUGAACCAACUGUACAUCAACCAGCCAAUAAAAGACUUAUCCUGCCACAUAGACACACUAGAAGCAUCCAGAUAGUGUAAAGGCCAGUUGUAGCUAAAGUCUGCAGGGCACUUGCCCUCCAGGAUCUAGUUUGGAGACCCCUGUCCUACAGAGUUGUUACUUUGCACAUGCUUUUUGAUCAUUACAAAUAAUCAUGUAAAAUUAUUUUCUUAGAAUAGGAAAUAUGCUGUCUCUCGCAUCACAUACAUUAGUUAAGUAUGUGGUCUUGAAGAGGAUCCUUUUUUUUCUCUCAUUUGGACUCGGACUUGACUUGGACUCGAACCUCUUUGGACUCGGCCUUGACUUGGACUCGAAACUUUUGGACUUGGACUUGACUUGGACUCGAACCUCUUUGGAGUCGGUCUUGACUUGGACUCGAAACUUUUGGACUUGGACUUGACUUGGACUCGACAAAGCUGGACUUGACUACAGCUCUACUUUAUCGUGAGUAGAUUGUUUUGUCUGUUCUACUGUUUUGUGUAGAAGUGCAAGCAUUACACAUCCACUGUUCACCUGUGCAUAGUCCAGAGAUCUGGAUGCUCGUAUGGUCCACAGUCUCUGCUGGCCAGCUCUGGAAUCUCCGCUGACCUGUGCAGUGUUUAACUAUUGUUUAUUUUAUUUUGUGUUUUCUGGUGAGAAUAAAAAUCUUCCUUCUCACUACUCCUCUGCAUCUGAGACCUCUAUCAUCCCAGGCCAUGACAGUACGCAUGUACAGUAGUUAGCGGAAGCUAGAGAUUAUGGUUCAUAAAAGUUUAAAUAUGGAUAUUUUUCUUACAAAAAUGCAAAAUGUCAUUUGUGUGCAAAUAUUAUGAUGGAUGGCCAGCCAACCAGAACAUUACUAUUUGAUAUUUGAUUCAUCACAGGUUCCUUUAUGCAUUGAUGCAC